UACGUAGGGUCCGAGCGUUGUCCGGAAUUAUUGGGCGUAAAGGGCUCGUAGGCGGUCUGUUGCGUCGGGAGUGAAAACUUACAGCUUAACUGUGAGCGUGCUUCCGAUACGGGCAGACUUGAGGUAUUCAGGGGAGAACGGAAUUCCUGGUGUAGCGGUGAAAUGCGCAGAUAUCAGGAGGAACACCGGUGGCGAAGGCGGCCUGCUGGGCAGUAGCUGACACUGAGGCGCGACAGCGUGGGGAGCAAACAGG
rnacentral:rRNA from 1 species